CCUACGGGGGGCUGCAGUGGGGAAUUUUGGACAAUGGACGAAAGUCUGAUCCAGCCAUGCCGCGUGCGGGAAGAAGGCCUUCGGGUUGUAAACCGCUUUUGUCAGGGAAGAAACGGGUUUCUCUAAUACAGAGGCCUAAUGACGGUACCUGAAGAAUAAGCACCGGCUAACUACGUGCCAGCAGCCGCGGUAAUACGUAGGGUGCAAGCGUUAAUCGGAAUUACUGGGCGUAAAGCGUGCGCAGGCGGUUAUGCAAGACAGAUGUGAAAUCCCCGGGCUCAACCUGGGAACUGCAUUUGUGACUGCAUGGCUAGAGUACGGUAGAGGGGGAUGGAAUUCCGCGUGUAGCAGUGAAAUGCGUAGAUAUGCGGAGGAACACCGAUGGCGAAGGCAAUCCCCUGGACCUGUACUGACGCUCAUGCACGAAAGCGUGGGGAGCAAACAGGAUUAGAUACCCCAGUAGUC
rnacentral:rRNA from 1 species